rnacentral:rRNA from 1 species
UAGGGAAUCUUCGGCAAUGGGGGCAACCCUGACCGAGCAACGCCGCGUGAGUGAAGAAGGUUUUCGGAUCGUAAAGCUCUGUUGUAAGAGAAGAACGUGUGUGAGAGUGGAAAGUUCACACAGUGACGGUAACUUACCAGAAAGGGACGGCUAACUACGUGCCAGCAGCCGCGGUAAUACGUAGGUCCCGAGCGUUGUCCGGAUUUAUUGGGCGUAAAGCGAGCGCAGGCGGUUUAAUAAGUCUGAAGUUAAAGGCAGUGGCUUAACCAUUGUUCGAUUUGGAAACUGUUAGACUUGAGUGCAGAAGGGGAGAGUGGAAUUCCAUGUGUAGCGGUGAAAUGCGUAGAUAUAUGGGGGAACACCGGUGGCGAACGCGGCUCUCUGGUCUGUUACUGACGCUGAGGCUCGAAAGCGGGGGGAGCAAACAGG